rnacentral:rRNA from 1 species
GAGGGGGACCGGCCACACUGAGAUGAGACACGGCCCAGACUCCUACGGGAGGCAGCAGUGGGGAAUAUUGCACAAUGGGCGAAAGCCUGAUGCAGCGACGCCGCGUGAGGGAUGACGGCCUUCGGGUUGUAAACCUCUUUCAGCAGGGAAGAAGCGCAAGUGACGGUACCUGCAGAAGAAGCACCGGCUAACUACGUGCCAGCAGCCGCGGUAAUACGUAGGGUGCGAGCGUUGUCCGGAUUUAUUGGGCGUAAAGAGCUCGUAGGCGGCUUGUCGCGUCGGAUGUGAAAGCCCGGGGCUUAACUCCGGGUCUGCAUUCGAUACGGGCAGGCUAGAGUGUGGUAGGGGAGAUCGGAAUUCCUGGUGUAGCGGUGAAAUGCGCAGAUAUCAGGAGGAACACCGGUGGCGAAGGCGGAUCUCUGGGCCAUUACUGACGCUGAGGAGCGAAAGCGUGGGGAGCGAACAGGAUUAGAUACCCUGGUAGUCCACGCCGUAAACGUUGGGAACUAGGUGUGGGUCACAUUCCACGUGGUCCGCGCCGCAGCUAACGCAUUAAGUUCCCCGCCUGGGGAGUACGGCCGCAAGGCUAAAACUCCAAGGAAUUGACG